UACGUAGGGGGCAAGCGUUGUCCGGAAUCAUUGGGCGUAAAGCGCGUGUAGGCGGCUUGAUAAGUCUGUUGUGAAAGUCCAGGGCUCAACCCUGGAAUGCCGAUGGAUACUGCGGAGCUAGAGUACGGAAGAGGCGAGUGGAAUUCCUGGUGUAGCGGUGAAAUGCGCAGAUAUCAGGAGGAACACCUAUGGCGAAGGCAGCUCGCUGGGACGUUACUGACGCUGAGGCACGAAAGCUGGGGGAGCAAACAGG
rnacentral:rRNA from 1 species